rnacentral:rRNA from 1 species
GACGAACGCUGGCGGCGUGCUUAACACAUGCAAGUCGAACGGAAAGGCCCUGCUUUUGUGGGGUGCUCGAGUGGCGAACGGGUGAGUAACACGUGAGUAACCUGCCCUUGACUUUGGGAUAACUUCAGGAAACUGGGGCUAAUACCGGAUAGGAGCUCCUGCUGCAUGGUGGGGGUUGGAAAGUUUCGGCGGUUGGGGAUGGACUCGCGGCUUAUCAGCUUGUUGGUGGGGUAGUGGCUUACCAAGGCUUUGACGGGUAGCCGGCCUGAGAGGGUGACCGGCCACAUUGGGACUGAGAUACGGCCCAGACUCCUACGGGAGGCAGCAGUGGGGAACAUUGCACAAUGGGCGGAAGCCUGAGGCAGCAACGCCGCGUGCGGGAUGACGGCCUUCGGGUUGUAAACCGCUUUCGCCUGUGACGAAGCGUGAGUGACGGUAAUGGGUAAAGAAGCACCGGCUAACUACGUG